UCCUCGAUGGUCUAACGGUCUAUGAUUUCCGCUUGUCAAUCCCUAAAAGGAACGAGCGCGGGAGACCUGGGUUCGACUCCCAGUCGGGGAG
rnacentral:tRNA from 1 species